rnacentral:rRNA from 1 species
AUUGAACGCUGGCGGCAGGCUUAACACAUGCAAGUCGAGCGGGGACUUCGGUCCUAGCGGCGAACGGGUGAGGAAUGCUUGGGAAUCUGCCCAGUAGUGGGGGAUAACGUUUCAAAGGAACGCUAAUACCGCAUACGUCCUACGGGAGAAAGGGGGGGAUCUUCGGACCUCUCGCUAUUGGAUUAGCCCAAGUCGGAUUAGCUAGUUGGUGAGGUAAAGGCUCACCAAGGCGACGAUCCGUAGCUGGUCUGAGAGGAUGAUCAGCCACACUGGAACUGAGACACGGUCCAGACUCCUACGGGAGGCAGCAGUGGGGAAUAUUGGACAAUGGGCGAAAGCCUGAUCCAGCCAUGCCGCGUGUGUGAAGAAGGCCUUCGGGUUGUAAAGCACUUUAAGCGAGGAGGAAUGGCUCUUGGUUAAUAACCUUGAGCAGUGACGUUACUCGCAGAAUAAGCACCGGCUAACUCUGUGCCAGCCGCCGCGGUAAAAC